rnacentral:tRNA from 1 species
GCCCUCGUAGCUCAGCAGGACAGAGCAACGGCCUCCUAAGCCGUAGGUCGUGCGUUCGAAUCGCGCCGGGGGCACCA